CGAACGCUGGCGGCGUGCCUAACACAUGCAAGUCAAGGGGAACACCCGAUUUCGAUUGGGUUAGUAUACUGGCGGACGGGUGAGUAACGCGUAGGCAACCUGCCCUUACGAAUGGGAUAACCCAGCGAAAGCUGGACUAAUACCGUAUAAUAUUUUUGAUAUCACCUGAUAUUAUCAUCAAAGGUUGCUUUUCGGAGCAAUCGCGUAAGGAUGGGCCUGCGUUCCAUUAGUUAGUUGGUGAGGUAACGGCUCACCAAGGCGACGAUGGAUAGCUGGUUUGAGAGAGUGAUCAGCCACACUGGGACUGAGAUACGGCCCAGACUCCUACGGGAGGCAGCAGUGAGGAAUAUUGCGCAAUGGAGGAAACUCUGACGCAGCAACGCCGCGUGGGGGAUGAAGUUCUAUGGAGCGUAAACCCCUGUAAGUAGGGACGAAUGAUAGGCAUUCAAAUAGGGUGCUUAUGUGACGGUACCUGCAGAGUAAGCUCCGGCUAACUCC
rnacentral:rRNA from 1 species